rnacentral:rRNA from 1 species
AUUGAACGCUGGCGGAAUGCUUUACACAUGCAAGUCGAGCGGCAGCGCGGGGCAACCUGGCGGCGAGCGGCGAACGGGUGAGUAAUGCAUCGGAACAUGUCCAUGUCGUGGGGGAUAGCCCGGCGAAAGCCGGAUUAAUACCGCAUACGCCCGAGAGGGGAAAGUGGGGGACCGCAAGGCCUCACGCGAUUGGGUUGGCCGAUGUCCGAUUAGCUAGUUGGUGGGGUAAAGGCCUACCAAGGCGAUGAUCGGUAGCUGGUCUGAGAGGAUGAUCAGCCACACUGGGACUGAGACACGGCCCAGACUCCUACGGGAGGCAGCAGUGGGGAAUUUUGGACAAUGGGGGCAACCCUGAUCCAGCCAUUCCGCGUGAGUGAAGAAGGCCUUCGGGUUGUAAAGCUCUUUUGUCCGGAACGAAACGGUGCUCGUGAAUAUCGAGCGCUACUGACGGUACCGGAAGAAUAAGCACCGGCUAACUACGUGCCAGCCGCCGCCGUAACAC